AAUCUUCCACAAUGGACGGAAGUCUGAUGGAGCAAUGCCGCGUGAGCGAAGAAGGUUUUCGGAUCGUAAAGCUCUGUUGUGAUGGAAGAACACGUACGGGAGUAACUGCCCGUACCUUGACGGUACCUCAUUAGAAAGCCACGGCUAACUACGUGCCAGCAGCCGCGGUAAUACGUAGGUGGCAAGCGUUGUCCGGAAUUAUUGGGCGUAAAGCGCGCGCAGGCGUUCUUUUAAGUCUGAUGUAAAAGCCCACGGCUAAACCGUGGAAGGUAAUUGAAAACUGAAGACUUUGAGUACAGAAAGGAAAGGCGAAAUUCAACGUGUAGCGUUGAAAUGCUUAGAGAUGUGGAGAACACCCGGUGGGAAAGGCGCUUUUUUGGUCUGAAACUACGGCUGAGGCGCGAAGGCGUGGGAGCAAACA
rnacentral:rRNA from 1 species